CUUAUCCGUGCUUCUUUAAGUUGCAAACACGUAUGACACACGUGUCGCUUUUGUUGAGCCGUUCUCCACUUCUCACUUCUUAGUAUUCCUUUCUUCCUUCUAGAGUCGUAAACAUAGAGAUUACCAUCUUCAAUCACCUUUCAGUUUUUCACCUCCUCAUCUGUGUUCUUUGUCUUUCAUUGGAGUCGAUGGAUUGAACACAGAACUUUCUUUUGAUGUUCGCCAAUGUUGAAUUUCUGCAACUAUUCUGGAGAAAAAUUCUCAUAUGAAGUCGAGAUUAUAUUGAUAUAAUGGGACUACUGUGUCGGGAUUCACUGAUCUCAUCCCCGAUCCCCACUCUAUUUGCACCUCCUAUCCUCCUCAGGACUCAGGGGAAUUUUCAGCUUAGGUACACUAACUGCACUCAGCACAUUGAAUUGCAAUCUGGAAAGAAAAUAUAGGAACAAGGGAAGAACUUUGAUGCAGCCAAAUUGGUUGACAAUAUGCCUAAAACAACAUAUUAAAUAAUUUCAAGUAAAAUAUAUAUGAGACUUUGAAACAACAUACCAACGAGGAUGUGUAGUUGCUUAGACAACUGCAGCAAAAGCACAGACAGAGUGGAUGGAGUUCAACUAAAAGUUCAUGCUGAAGUCUAUUGUGCAACUAGCCAAAACUCCCAUCGUCUUAUAUUAUGCAGCUAGGCGAAAUGGCCAUCCUCUUAUAUUGGGAAGAAUUUUGUCAUUUUUCUGUAUAUCUUCUUCAAUAUCUCUUUAAUUGUCAUACUUUACUAAAAUUACUCUCUUAAACUAGAUACUUAUUCAAUUUGUAUCACCUAAAAAGAACAUGGAAUAACUGCCACAUCAAAUAUAUACUUUCAAAGAGUUUUUCCUAGGAUGAUCAUCCAAAAACACUAAUAUUUGGUGUUUGUAACAAACCAACUAAUGCAAUUUCUCAUCACACCUCAAGGAAAUCUAACUCGGUAUUCAAAAAAUACCCAAAUUUAUGUUUGACAUAAAGUUUUCAUAUUUCAGUGGUUAGUAAGAAAUCAAGAAAGAAUGUCAAGCACUGUCAGGAAAGUCAUUCGUUGCAAAGGUGCUGUGGCAUGGGAGCCAGGGAACAAAUUACUGAUCGAGAAAGUGAAAGAUUUACUAAUUUCAGUAAAUAUCACAAGCUGGAUCGACUUUUUCUUUUUAAUUCCUUUGGAUAAUGUAGGAGCAAUAUUCAUUCUUUCCUCGCAUUCUUGGACGUGAAGCAGCAGGGAAAACUUAUUGCAUCCAAGGUUAUAGAUUUAGGAAUCAGAAAGGUUAGUCAAAAACUCUAAUUUGCUCAGCUAUAUGGCAUGGCACAACGGUUUUCUUUUGAUCUGAGAAAUGCACAAUUUCAUGCAAGCAAGUAUUUACCAUUUGGACCUGUUAGCAACAUAUUCAAAUAUAAGGUACAUUAUUUUCUUCACUGAAUGUUAUUGUUGAACAAUAUAUAUGAGGUUCCCGCACUUUCUCUCAAGGUUGAAACCCCAAUCAUCAAAGACAAUAGUAAGAGAAUCCAAAUUCAAAUGACGAGGCAUUGAUUCUUUGGAUGGUUCUAUAUAUAGGGAAUUGCAUUGGGUGUUAAUUAAUUGUACUAUAAUUUUAUGUUUCUGAGAAUUACUUUGAUAACUAAUACUAUAAAUAUGUUGCAACUCUUGCUUGCUUUAGAAGUCGACAAAAGUGUGUUGAUAUUAUGACUUAUUGAUCCAUUUCAAUGAAUGUGUUUGUUAUAUAUAAUUUUUCUUAGUUUUGCCUUUGGAGCUUUUGUGAUUAAAAGUUUUUGUUAAAUUUCUUAUUUUGUUGACAUGUCGAGCUUGGUUUCUAUAAUAAUACAAAGAAGUCAAUAAAAAGGACAAAUGAAGUGAGUAGCAUUACUGGUUCAAUCAGCCUACUGAUCAGUAGAAUGGCCAUUAAAUUAGCGCUGCUUGAUACAUGAUUUUCUGGUCUGAAAGCACAAAUAUUUAAAAAAUGAAAAUAUACUUAUUGAUUUUAUUGGUUACUAAUAAUCGUACUAACCAUAGAUCGUACCAGUAGCUUCAAUAUAGAAUCGUUUUCUUCAUUAUCGAUCUGUUGUGUGCUUUUGGUGUUGUCAAAAAGAUUAGAGUAGUACAAAUUUCGUCUUCAUGUCUUAAUAUCUAAUUCCUUUAAGAAGUACCCUGUACUGAAUAACCAUUUUCACGUAAUUUUGGUUUCGCUUGAGUAGUACAUACGGCAUUGUGUAAAAUUACAUGUGCAUCCCUGCUUCUUUAAGUUGCAAACACGUAUGACACACGUGUCGCUUUUGUUGAGCCGUUCUCCACUUCUCACUUCUUAGUAUUCCUUUCUUCCUUCUAGAGUCGUAAACAUAGAGAUUACCAUCUUCAAUCACCUUUCAGUUUUUCACCUCCUCAUAUGUGUUCUUUGUCUUUCAUUGGAGUCGAUGGAUUGACCACAGAGCUUUCUUUUGAUGUUUGCCAAUGUUGAAUUUCUGCAACUAUUCUGGAGAAAAAUUCUCCUAUGAAGUCGAGAUUAUAUUGAUAUAAUGGGACUACUGUGUCCGGAUUCACUGAUCUCAUCCCCGAUCCCCACUCUAUUUGCACCUCCUAUCCUCCUCAGGACUCAGGUCAUUCUUUUAUUGAUUGAAAAUUGGGGAUUUUUGGGUUAUAGAUUUGAUUUACUUUUUUAUCGCAACAAUUCAUCUCUUGCAGAACUUCUGUUAAUUCCUUUUUUUUGACGUUCAAUUUGCCUAGGGGAAUUUUCAGCUUAGGUACACUAACUGCACUCAGCACAUUGAAUUGCAAUCUGGAAAAAAAAUAUAGGAACAAGGGAAGAACUUUGAUGCAGCCAAAUUGGUUGACAAUAUGCCUAAAACAACAUAUUAAAUAAUUUCAAGUAAAAUAUAUCUUCUUCAAUAGCUCUUUAAUUAUCAUACUUUACUAAAAUUACUCUCUUAAACUAGAUACUUAUUCAAUUUGUAUCACCUAAAACGAACAUGGAAUAACUGCCACAUCAAAUAUACACUUUCAAAGAGUUGUUCCUAGGAUGAUCAUCCAAAAACACUAAUAUUUGGUGUUUAUAAAAAACCAACUAAUGCAAUUUCUCAUCACACCUCAAGGAAAUCCAACUAGGUAUUCAUAAAAUACCCAAACUUCUGUUUGACAUAAAGUUUUCUAUUUCAGUGGUUAGUAAGAAAUCAAGAAAGAAUGUCAAGCACUGUCAGGAAAGUCAUUCGUUGCAAAGGUGUUGUGGCAUAGGAGCCAGGGAACAAAUUACUGAUCGAGAAAGUGAAAGAUUUACUAAUUUCAGUAAAUAUCACAAGCUGGAUCGAAUUUUUCUUUUUAAUUCCUUUGGAUAAUAUAGGAGCAAUAUUCAUUCUUUCCUCGCAUUCUUGGACGUGAAGCAGCAGGAUUUGAGACAAAUCACCUGAUCAACAAGAAAGCCCUUACCAGAUUUGAGAGGUAUCCAUGUCAUGAAGCACUAGGUUAUUCAAGGAAAGCUCUAUUAUUUAGCUUAACUCAUGAUCCAUACUGAUGGUUAUUCUGAAUCUGGCAAAGAUACCAGCUGUGGCUGUUUAAUUGUUGCAAACUAGCUUUACAAAGCUAGCUCGUGAACUUGUUGUAGCUGCGUGUAAUGAACAACUUAAUAAUCACAUUGAUGUAGAGCAGAAUUUUGAAUAGUGCUACUUUUUGUAUGUAUGAGGAAAGCAUAUUCAAGUACUUGCAAUUUUCGAACCUUCCAUAGGACAUCUGUCCGUUGAUAGGAGAAAGCUUCCGAACAACUUCAAGGUGAAUAUUUAUGAUGCAAAGAGGCCAUUGUUUAAUGUUCGAUAUUACAGAAUCAUAGCAACGAAAGCGACUACGGGAAGACCACCUCUAAUGUUGUCAGUAUCCUAUCUAUUGAAUGAACUUUUGCGUACUUCUAUUCUUAUAAACUUCUUUUCAGUGGAUUUCAAGUGUUAAUAGACCCGGUGUGGUAAAUGUGCAAUUUUUUUUCGAUUCUCUGUUUCUUGCCUCCAGAUAUCAACAUGUAUCUGUAAUACAAUUUCUGAAGUGGUGUUACUUUCUUAAGGAUGUCCAAUAAGUACCAAUCGUGUUUUUAGGUUAGGAAGCUGUACAGAAAUUAAGACACUACUGAUAUUGGGUGUGUGUUGGCACAAGUGAAAUUUCUUUUGUAACAAAUUCCGAACUGUAAUUGUCAGGGAAUCAGGUUAUCAAAGGGAACAUGAACAAUCUGACUUUUUUUUUUUAAUCUUUUCUCAUUAGCCAGCUCAAGAAUGUAAUUAUGCAACUUUGUUCCGCAAAUGAAUAAUACAAAUCAUAUUAUAUUGAUGUUUACUUGGC